AAUCCAUAGGUUAAUGAGGCGAACCGGGGGAACUGAAACAUCUAAGUACCCCGAGGAAAAGAAAUCAACCGAGAUUCCCCCAGUAGCGGCGAGCGAACGGGGAGGAGCCCAGAGCCUGAAUCAGCAUGUGUGUUAGUGGAAGCGUCUGGAAAGGCGCGCGAUACAGGGUGACAGCCCCGUACACAAAAGCGCAUGUGCUGUGAGCUCGAUGAGUAGGGCGGGACACGUGGUAUCCUGUCUGAAUAUGGGGGGACCAUCCUCCAAGGCUAAAUACUCCUGACUGACCGAUAGUGAACCAGUACCGUGAGGGAAAGGCGAAAAGAACCCCGGCGAGGGGAGUGAAAAAGAACCUGAAACCGUGUACGUACAAGCAGUGGGAGCACCCUUUGGGUGUGACUGCGUACCUUUUGUAUAAUGGGUCAGCGACUUAUAUUCUGUAGCAAGGUUAACCGAAUAGGGGAGCCGGAGGGAAACCGAGUCUUAACCGGGCGUUAAGUUGCAGGGUAUAGACCCGAAACCCGGUGAUCUAGCCAUGGGCAGGUUGAAGGUUGGGUAACACUAACUGGAGGACCGAACCGACUAAUGUUGAAAAAUUAGCGGAUGACCUGUGGCUGGGGGUGAAAGGCCAAUCAAACCGGGAGAUAGCUGGUUCUCCCCGAAAGCUAUUUAGGUAGCGCCUCGUGAAUUCAUCUCCGGGGGUAGAGCACUGUUUCGGCUAGGGGGCCAUCCCGGCUUACCAACCCGAUGCAAACUGCGAAUACCGGAGAAUGUUAUCACGGGAGACACACGGCGGGUGCUAACGUCCGUCGUGAAGAGGGAAACAACCCAGACCGCCAGCUAAGGUCCCAAAGUCAUGGUUAAGUGGGAAACGAUGUGGGAAGGCCCAGACAGCCAGGAUGUUGGCUUAGAAGCAGCCAUCAUUUAAAGAAAGCGUAAUAGCUCACUGGUCGAGUCGGCCUGCGCGGAAGAUGUAACGGGGCUAAACCAUGCACCGAAGCUGCGGCAGCGACACUGUGUGUUGUUGGGUAGGGGAGCGUUCUGUAAGCCUGUGAAGGUGUGUCGUGAGGCAUGCUGGAGGUAUCAGAAGUGCGAAUGCUGACAUAAGUAACGAUAAAGCGGGUGAAAAGCCCGCUCGCCGGAAGACCAAGGGUUCCUGUCCAACGUUAAUCGGGGCAGGGUGAGUCGACCCCUAAGGCGAGGCCGAAAGGCGUAGUCGAUGGGAAACGGGUUAAUAUUCCCGUACUUGGUGUUACUGCGAAGGGGGGACGGAGAAGGCUAUGUUGGCCGGGCGACGGUUGUCCCGGUUUAAGCGUGUAGGUGUGUGUUCCAGGUAAAUCCGGUUCACUUUAACACUGAGGCGUGACGACGAGGCACUACGGUGCUGAAGCAACAAAUGCCCUGCUUCCAGGAAAAGCCUCUAAGCAUCAGGUAACAUCAAAUCGUACCCCAAACCGACACAGGUGGUCAGGUAGAGAAUACCAAGGCGCUUGAGAGAACUCGGGUGAAGGAACUAGGCAAAAUGGUGCCGUAACUUCGGGAGAAGGCACGCUGACACGUAGGUGAAGUGAUUUACUCAUGGAGCUGAAGUCAGUCGAAGAUACCAGCUGGCUGCAACUGUUUAUUAAAAACACAGCACUGUGCAAACACGAAAGUGGACGUAUACGGUGUGACGCCUGCCCGGUGCCGGAAGGUUAAUUGAUGGGGUCAGCGCAAGCGAAGCUCCUGAUCGAAGCCCCGGUAAACGGCGGCCGUAACUAUAACGGUCCUAAGGUAGCGAAAUUCCUUGUCGGGUAAGUUCCGACCUGCACGAAUGGCGUAAUGAUGGCCAGGCUGUCUCCACCCGAGACUCAGUGAAAUUGAACUCGCUGUGAAGAUGCAGUGUACCCGCGGCAAGACGGAAAGACCCCGUGAACCUUUACUAUAGCUUGACACUGAACAUUGAGCCUUGAUGUGUAGGAUAGGUGGGAGGCUUUGAAGUGUGGACGCCAGUCUGCAUGGAGCCGACCUUGAAAUACCACCCUUUAAUGUUUGAUGUUCUAACGUGGACCCGUUACCCGGGUUGCGGACAGUGUCUGGUGGGUAGUUUGACUGGGGCGGUCUCCUCCUAAAGAGUAACGGAGGAGCACGAAGGUUGGCUAAUCCUGGUCGGACAUCAGGAGGUUAGUGCAAUGGCAUAAGCCAGCUUGACUGCGAGCGUGACGGCGCGAGCAGGUGCGAAAGCAGGUCAUAGUGAUCCGGUGGUUCUGAAUGGAAGGGCCAUCGCUCAACGGAUAAAAGGUACUCCGGGGAUAACAGGCUGAUACCGCCCAAGAGUUCAUAUCGACGGCGGUGUUUGGCACCUCGAUGUCGGCUCAUCACAUCCUGGGGCUGAAGUAGGUCCCAAGGGUAUGGCUGUUCGCCAUUUAAAGUGGUACGCGAGCUGGGUUUAGAACGUCGUGAGACAGUUCGGUCCCUAUCUGCCGUGGGCGCUGGAGAACUGAGGGGGGCUGCUCCUAGUACGAGAGGACCGGAGUGGACGCAUCACUGGUGUUCGGGUUGUCAUGCCAAUGGCACUGCCCGGUAGCUAAAUGCGGAAGAGAUAAGUGCUGAAAGCAUCUAAGCACGAAACUUGCCCCGAGAUGAGUUCUCCCUGAGACUUAAAGUCUCCUGAAGGAACGUUGAAGACGACGACGUUGAUAG
rnacentral:rRNA from 2 species